GGCCCUUGAGGAAUUUGGUGAAGUCCAUCAGUCACCUGGCAUCUGGAGCCCUGAAAAGUUCAGUCUUUCAUACACUCUAAAGCCAGAUUUGAUGGGAGCUCCCACCUGUCCAGACACUAUUCAAGAUACCAGAAGUAGAGACCUACAAGCCUGCUUCUCUCCAUCCUCAUUGCCCAGAACCAGGAAGGUCAUGAGCUUCCAGUGCUCACCCCCACCCUUCUUGCUGCCAGAUGUGGAAAUGGAGACCCAGAGAGGAAAAUCAGUUGAAUCCUGUCCUGGAGUUGCUUUGUGUUCCUGGC